rnacentral:ribozyme from 1 species
AAGGAGAGAAAGAAAGAAAGAGAAGGAGAAAGAGAAAGGAAGAGAGCGUUUCUUUUUGUAUUUUCCACUUUUUAUUUCUUGCGUUCACUUUUCUCGUA